GAUGAACGCUGGCGGCGUGCCUAACACAUGCAAGUCGAACGGAGUCCAGCCUUUAAGACCUUCGGGUCAAAGAGGGGAAGACUGAGUGGCGGACGGGUGAGUAACACGUGGGCAACCUGGCUCAUAGAGGGGGAUAACAGAGAGAAAUCUCUGCUAAUACCGCAUAAGCACACACUGCCGCAUGGCAGAGGGUGAAAAGAGAAUCGCUAUGAGAUGGACCCGCGUCUGAUUAGCCAGUUGGCAGGGUAAGAGCCUACCAAAGCGACGAUCAGUAGCCGAUCUGAGAGGAUGAACGGCCACAUUGGGACUGAGACACGGCCCAAACUCCUACGGGAGGCAGCAGUGGGGGAUAUUGCACAAUGGGGGGAACCCUGAUGCAGCGACGCCGCGUGAGUGAAGAAGUAUUUCGGUAUGUAAAGCUCUAUCAGCAGGGAAGAUAAUGACAGUACCUGAAUAAGAAGCCCCGGCUAACUACGUG
rnacentral:rRNA from 1 species